rnacentral:rRNA from 1 species
UGCAGUCGAACGAGAAAGCGUUCUUCGGAACGUGAGUACAGUGGCGGACGGGUGAGUAACACGUGGGGAACCUGCCCUCAAGCUGGGAACAACCCGCCUAACGGCGGGCUAAUACCGAAUGUGGUUGUCAGUCCGCAUGGAAUGACAAUUAAAGGUGGCCUCUCCUUGGAAGCUACCGCUUGUGGAUGGCCCCGCGCUCAAUUAGCUAGUUGGUAGGGUAACGGCCUACCAAGGCGACGAUUGAUAGCCGACCUGAGAGGGUGACCGGCCACACUGGGAUUGAGAUAAGGCCCAGUCUCCUACGGGAGCCAGCAGUCUAGAAAUUUGGGCAAUGGGCGAAAGCCUGACCCAGCGACGCCGCGUGGGGGAUGAAGCUUCUCGGAGUGUAAACCCCUGUUAGGUGGGACGAAAGCCCGUAUACGAACAGUAGGCGGGUUUGACGGUACCACCAGAGGAAGCUCCGGCUAACUCCGUGCCAGCAGCCGCGGUAAUACGGGGGGAGCAAGCGUUGUUCGGAGUUAUUGGGCGUAAAGGGCGUACAGGCGGUGGUGUCAGUCAGAUGUGAAAUCCCCCGGCUCAACCGGGGACCUGCAUUUGAUACUGCAUCACUUGAGUACAGGAGAGGAGAGCGGAAUUUUCGGUGUAGCGGUGGAAUGUGUAGAUAUCGAAAAGAACACCAGUGGCGAAGGCGGCUCUCUGGCCUGAUACUGACGCUGACGCGCGAAAGCCAGGGGAGCAAACAGGAUUAGAUACCCUGGUAGUCCUGGCUGUAAACGUUGGGCACUAGGUGUUGGAGGUAUCGACCCCUUCAGUGCCGAAGCUAACGCAUUAAGUGCCCCGCCUGGGGAGUACGGCCGCAAGGCUGAAACUC